UGCAAGUCGUACGCUAGCCGCUGAAUUGAUCCUUCGGGUGAAGUGAGGCAAUGACUAGAGUGGCGAACUGGUGAGUAACACGUAAGAAACCUGCCCUUUAGUGGGGGAUAACAUUUGGAAACAGAUGCUAAUACCGCGUAACAACAAAUCACACAUGUGAUCUGUUUGAAAGGUCCUUUUGGAUCGCUAGAGGAUGGUCUUGCGGCGUAUUAGCUUGUUGGUAGGGUAGAAGCCUACCAAGGCAAUGAUGCGUAGCCGAGUUGAGAGACUGGCCGGCCACAUUGGGACUGAGACACUGCCCAAACUCCUACGGGAGGCUGCAGUAGGGAAUUUUCCGCAAUGCACGAAAGUGUGACGGAGCGACGCCGCGUGUGUGAUGAAGGCUUUCGGGUCGUAAAGCACUGUUGUAAGGGAAGAAUAACUGAAUUCAGAGAAAGUUUUCAGCUUGACGGUACCUUACCAGAAAGGGAUGGCUAAAUACGUGCCAGCAGCCGCGGUAAUACGUAUGUCCCGAGCGUUAUCCGGAUUUAUUGGGCGUAAAGCGAGCGCAGACGGUUUAUUAAGUCUGAUGUGAAAUCCCGAGGCCCAACCUCGGAACUGCAUUGGAAACUGAUUUACUUGAGUGCGAUAGAGGCAAGUGGAACUCCAUGUGUAGCGGUG
rnacentral:rRNA from 1 species